AGUGUGCCCAUAUCCUCUGACAUAUAUCCUGUCCGGAGCUCUCCUGCAGUGAUGGAGCUGACCACACGAGGUGCAGACAGACAACCAAGAUCUUGCAGAGUCCAUCCCUGAGCUGAUCCUGCUCAGACACAUCGUGGCUUAUUCAGUGGCAGCUGUCAAAAAGGAAGAGAUGGACCUUGACCAUUGUUGGGGCUGUGCUCACCCAGCAGGUUUCAAGUCUUCUAUGCCAAGGACAGUCCUGAGAAACGCCCUGCACAGCUUGGCCAACUUCUCCAGCUGCCAUUUUCAUUGCCUUUGAAACAGGUUAAUGCUCCUCAAUGUGGCCACGAGGUUCAGACAUUGACACCUUGCUGGAAGUUGAAACCAGAAGAGGAGACUCAAGUAAUGAGGGAAUAAGCUGAAAACUGGGGAAAGAAAUGAACCCUAUGCCAAAAAUAAA